rnacentral:rRNA from 1 species
CCUACGGGUGGCAGCAGUGAGGAAUAUUGGUCAAUGGGCGCGAGCCUGAACCAGCCAAGUAGCGUGAAGGAUGACUGCCCUACGGGUUGUAAACUUCUUUUAUAAAGGAAUAAAGUGAGGCACGUGUGCCUUUUUGUAUGUACUUUAUGAAUAAGGAUCGGCUAACUCCGUGCCAGCAGCCGCGGUAAUACGGAGGGGCCGAGCGUUAUCCGGAUUGAUUGGGUUUAAAGGGAGCGUAGGUGGGUUGUUAAGUCAGUUGUGAAAGUUUGCGGCUCAACCGUAAUAUUGCAAUUGAUACUGGAAGUCUAGAGUACAGUAGAGGAUGGCAGAAUGCGUGGUGUAGCGGUGAAAUGAGUAGAUAUCACGAGGAACACCGAUAGCGAAGGCAGCUAACU